rnacentral:rRNA from 1 species
AAGGAUAUAUUAAAUUAAAUAUUUGGCGGCUAUUUAUAUUAAAGGGAUUUGCUUUUUAUCGAUUUACCUCGUUUAUUAUUAUUUAAUUUGUUUUUGUAUACCGUCAUUUAGAUAAUUUUUAUAAAAUAAAUUAUUGAUAAAUUAUAUUAUAAUUUAGAUCAAGGUGCAGAUAUAAUUAAUUUAAGUUAAUGACAAUAAUUUAUUAUUAAACAGGAUUUAUAUAAUUUUUUAGAAUAGGAGGAUUUAAAUGUAAUAGAAGAGUAUUGAAAUUAAUUAAAUAGUGUACACAUCGCCCGUCACUCUC